rnacentral:rRNA from 1 species
GACGAACGCUGGCGGCGUGCCUAAUACAUGCAAGUAGAACGCUGAAGGAGGAGCUUGCUUCUCCGGAUGAGUUGCGAACGGGUGAGUAACGCGUAGGUAACCUGCCUGGUAGCGGGGGAUAACUAUUGGAAACGAUAGCUAAUACCGCAUAAGAGUAGAUGUUGCAUGACAUUUGCUUAAAAGGUGCAAUUGCAUCACUACCAGAUGGACCUGCGUUGUAUUAGCUAGUUGGUGGGGUAACGGCUCACCAAGGCGACGAUACAUAGCCGACCUGAGAGGGUGAUCGGCCACACUGGGACUGAGACACGGCCCAGACUCCUACGGGAGGCAGCAGUAGGGAAUCUUCGGCAAUGGACGGAAGUCUGACCGAGCAACGCCGCGUGAGUGAAGAAGGUUUUCGGAUCGUAAAGCUCUGUUGUAAGAGAAGAACGAGUGUGAGAGUGGAAAGUUCACACUGUGACGGUAUCUUACCAGAAAGGGACGGCUAACUACGUGCCAGCAGCCGCGGUAAUACGUAGGUCCCGAGCGUUGUCCGGAUUUAUUGGGCGUAAAGCGAGCGCAGGCGGUUAGAUAAGUCUGAAGUUAAAGGCUGUGGCUUAACCAUAGUACGCUUUGGAAACUGUUUAACUUGAGUGCAAGAGGGGAGAGUGGAAUUCCAUGUGUAGCGGUGAAAUGCGUAGAUAUAUGGAGGAACACCGGUGGCGAAAGCGGCUCUCUGGCUU